AACAUAUUAAGAAUGCAAAAGACAGCUGGAGCCACUCUCUAAGAAGAAAAACAGAUUCAUAAAACAAUUAGAAAAAGAUCACACAAAAGAUAUGAUGCAGCAUGAAAGUAAUCCAUUGACCAUCACAUAAAAUAGUAGCUUAAUGGAGCUUUACAUAAUUAUAAGAGCCUCAAUAUUGAAACAAUAAUACAUAUAACUUUGAAAUUCAUUUCCUUCCCAACAUUUGUUAGCAGCUCACCAAUUAGAAAAUUUAUUCCAAUUAAAUUAAACAAUACUAUCGGAACUAAUUUUUUUCCUCAUUGUUUAGUAAGACAUAAAUGCAGGACAGAAACAGAAUGUUAAUAAAGUUAAAUCUUUCAUUCUAUUUCUUGGAAAAGCACUGAAAAUUGGUUCUCUACACAAUCCAAAGUCUUAUGCAGCCACAAAUAAGAAAAAAAAAAUACAGCAUAACUAUCCAAAAUGAUUCAAGAGAAUCAACAAAAUGAAAACCAGCGAGAGAUGACAAAAUGUACUGCUUAGCUGAGGCAGAUAUGGUGACACAAUAUGACAAUAUGCUUAGUGUCAAGGCUGUCACAAGCAGAAUUCAUGUUUCCAUGCAAGUGGCUCGACAGGAAGCUAGUAGGAUGCUUAUAGAAGACAUGCUCCUUUGCUGUUCUUAAAAGAUUAAUCAGGGUACUUUGAACAAAGUGCAAAAAUAAGCUAACUGAGCUAUAGUGAUAAGGGAGAACUUAAACAUAUUCUAGUUUGCUAACAGAGAAAUGCCGGAUCAGAGCCCUGUGUUUGCUUGGGUAUCAUAAAUAGGACGCAGAAAGGCACUAGGGCUGAGAGUAUGUAAAAGGACAGUUUCUUAUAUUUUCCUACAUUUUUGAGCCAUCUAUCAGUCAGAAUUAUAUAUAAAAGAUUGCCCACAUUUCAAAGGGGGUACAACAGAGGUUAAGUUUCGUUCUUUUUUCUUUUUUCUGUUUUGUUGUUUUCCACAUGUAUAAAUGUUUUCAGAAGCCAUGAUAAGAAACUCAGAUCUCCAAACAAUGACAAACACAAAACUCAAUGCUUUGUCCAACAUAGAUUUUUGGUCCUCAAAGAAAACAACAAUUCGGAACGUUAUUUCUUUCCUUUUCCUUUUUUGCCUGCAUAUGUAAAACGUCAUGGAAUCAAUAACAAGCAUCCAGACUUGAAAGGAUAUGAUAUUUAACUAAUUAUCUAUGUCCAAAAUAUGUAAAAACAAGAAA
rnacentral:misc_RNA from 1 species